GCUCUGCCUCAUCUAGUGUCUGAGGUGGUGUGUCAUCCGUGCAAACCAUCAACAGAGAGUCACAUUAUAAUGAGACUGACGAGAGUCCCGGAUUUUUAAAGCAGAAGUCACAACGAACGUAGCCAGGUGGUGAAGCUGCAGCAGCACUCGGACCACAGCAUCUGUCCAGGAUCUGUUCACAGAUACAUGCAAGAGGCUGAGCUUGGGAUAAAGAGAGGAGAUCCAGAUGAAAAAGUCAUUCACCAACACAGAGGAGGAUUGGUUGUGUAUACAUGAAGUGGAAAGCAGAGAAGAUAAGGAAAAACAACAGCUUAUUAAACCCAGAGAUGCCGGUGUACAUCUCAGCAAAGCGUGGGUCUCUCUCUUGGGAGAACAGAGCCUCCGUCUUGUCGAUGUUCUUGCCUGCCUCAUGGACUCCACUGCUGACGCUGGCCACAGGCACCUGAGGGAGAGAGGGUGUGCGGGAGAUGUUUGGGAUUAUUUAUUUUUGGUUAUAAUAAAAUGCCAGACAAACACAAGUUGCACAUACACAAGUGAAACCGAUUCCAUCCACUUUUCUAUGCUAAUUAGAAGCAUUUUAGCCAAGUAGGCAAGGAAGAGGAAAUAAAAAAAGAGGAUAAUCAAUGAGAUUGUUUUCUGGUCUGCACUGCUUUGCCAACCCCUAAGGAAAAUUCAAGUUUUCAGGCAGUUAACGAGUCUUACUGUCAAACACAUCAUACACACUGUGAUAAAAAACAUCUAUUAUAGCUGUGUUAACAAAAUAAAUUGCUUAAAUCACA